ensembl:lncRNA
GUUCAACUCAAGCUUGAGCAGUUCCCUGCCCCAUGGAACUCGAGAAGCUUCUCAAGGUAUCUGCUGAUUGCUACUGGAGUGGAAUUGCUUGCUCAUCAUGGGCUAUGUGUCCCCAGAUGCUGCCUCUGUCCUGUCCCACAUUAACUCUUCCGUGAAGUCCAGCCCCAGUUUCCAUUCCUGAAACAAAAAUCACUUGCACCAAGCAUUUGAGUGAGUAGUAAACUUCAUGGAAAAUUUAAGGAGACAAUGCUGACCACACAGGCCUCUGCCAUCCAGCUGCCUCUUCCCUGCACACACAAACACCUCUUCCCAUUCUCACCCUGCCUCUCGGGUGGCUCCGGAAACCCGAAUUCUUCCUCUGCCCUGAAGAGUCAUUCAGCUCCCCCACAAGCUUCUCAUUCAUGAUGUCCACACUGAAGCAUAUCAAGAAUAUAGACUUUGCUGGAACCCACUGGGUGAUUUUUCUUAUGUACGCAUGCAUUGUAAAAAGAAAAAAAAGAAGUUUUAAAGAGCACACAGACAAAAAAUUAUAAAUUGUCCGCAACUCCCAUUACCCAGAGCUAAUGUGCAGACACACAUCUGGAGGCACAGUGUCCUCUUGAGACCCUGAGGUAAAGGCAUGAGGGAAAGACUGAGAGAAUCACACAGAAGCCAGCCCUGGGGUCCUUGGGCCGUAAAGGGAGCCUCCAGCCAGCUGCCCCAGGCUAUUCGUUCAAAAGGCUGCAGCUGAGUCUUCUGUGACUUGCACUCAAGGGUUGGGGAACCC